UCAUUAAGCACACGUGAAGAAUCUUUCUCAGGACACGACGGUCCUUAAAUACUUUGAGCUGGAAGAAAUGCAUAUUGUUUUGCCACUUCAACAAUAUGAUACUGAUGUACUUGUUUAUAAGAAUGCAAGCAUAUUUGAGCAUAUUGGAAUCCUGAGUGGAAUGAAACUGCUUUUAUUAGCUCCCCUAACAAUGCAAAUCCUGGAUCGGGACGACUGACAGCCUCUCACCUUGAAAGACACUGAAACGUGACAGAGCAUGAGUCACUUGCAGUACUGUGAAACAUGGGUGGCGGAGGUAAGACCAGCCCAGACUCUGAGCACAGUCCCAGCAGCCAGGCAUAUUGUGAUUAAAGCCCUGGAGUGAUUUACUGCAAUCAGAGAAAGGAAGAGAAGUAUAUUUGAUUCUCUUUAAAUAAAUUGUUUUUCCAGUUGAGCA
rnacentral:lncRNA from 1 species